UGCGAAAGGCAGUGCUUGAAACAGCUCGG
rnacentral:piRNA from 1 species